AGCUUUUGAGUACCUGGCUUGAGUACGGGAGAAACAACCCGACCCAACCCUGUGUGAACCCGAGCCGGUCCGCGUGAGGCGUCGUCACUCACAUGGGUGAAGUGUGCCAACCGGGCUGGAUUUUGGCCCCGUUGGCGGGCAUAUGCUCACGCUGACCACAACAGCAGACAUGAGACGGCCCCCGGCCGGGACUGGCAUCCCGACCAAGGGCCUGACCAACGAGGAAGCAGGAUCUUCCCG
rnacentral:ncRNA from 1 species